rnacentral:rRNA from 1 species
UACGUAGGGGGCUAGCGUUGUCCGGAUUUAUUGGGCGUAAAGAGCUCGUAGGCGGUUCGGUAAGUCAGGUGUGAAAUCUCCACGCUCAACGUGGAGGCGCCACCUGAAACUGCCGUGACUCGAGUCCGGUAGGGGAGUGUGGAAUUCCUGGUGUAGCGGUGAAAUGCGUAGAUAUCAGGAGGAACACCGAUGGUGUAGACGGCUUUCUGGACCGUAACUGACGCUGAGACACGAAAGCGUGGGUAGCAAACAGG